rnacentral:rRNA from 1 species
UUGAUCCUGGCUCAGGAUGAACGCUGGCGGCGUGCUUAACACAUGCAAGUCGAACGUGAAGCCCGGUACCUAGUAUUGGGUGGAAAGUGGCGGACGGGUGCGUAACACGUUGGUGACCUGCCCCGAGGUGGGGGAUAACCGUGGGAAACCACGGCUAAUACCCCGGAUGCCAAAGUAUUUAGAAAGCUUUGGCUAAAGCUCCGGCGCCUCGGGAGGGGCCUGCGGGCUAUCAGCUUGUUGGUGGGGUAAUGGCCUACCAAGGCAAAGACGGCUAGGGGGCGUGAGAGCGCGACCCCCCACAAUGGAACUGAGACACGGUCCAUACUCCUACGGGAGGCAGCAGUGAGGAAUAUUGCGCAAUGGGGGCAACCCUGACGCAGCAACGCCGCGUGGAUGAUGAAGGCCUUCGGGUUGUAAAAUCCUUUUCCGGGGGAAGAAUCAUGACGGUACCUCGGGAAUAAGUCCCGGCUAACUACGUGCCAGCAGCCGCGGUAAAACGUAGGGGGCGAGCGUUAUCCGGAUUUACUGGGCGUAAAGCACACGUAGGCGGCGCUGUAAGUUGGGCGUGAAAGCUCCCGGCUCAACUGGGAGAGGUCGUUCAAAACUGCAGUGCUUGAGGUUGGAAGAGGAGAGUGGAAUUCCCGGUGUAGUGGUGGAAUGCGUAGAUAUCGGGAGGAACACCAGUGGCGAAGGCGGCUCUCUGGUCCAACCCUGACGCUGAGGUGCGAAAGCGUGGGGAGCGAACGGGAUUAGAUACCCCGGUAGUCCACGCUGUAAACGAUGGAUACUAGGUGUGGGAGGUUACUUACCCCUUC